CCUACGGGUGGCAGCAGUGAGGAAUAUUGGUCAAUGGGCGCGAGCCUGAACCAGCCAAGUCGCGUGAGGGAAGACGGUCCUAUGGAUUGUAAACUUCUUUUGUCGGGGAGCAAAAGCCGCCACGCGUGGCGUUCCGAGAGUACCCGAAGAAAAAGCAUCGGCGAACCUCGUGCCAGCGGCCGCGGUAAUACGGGGGAUGCGAGCGUUAUCCGGUUGUAUUGGGUUUAAAGGGUGCGCAGGGGGAAGAUCAAGUCAGCGGUAAAAUUGAGAGGCUCAACCUCUUCGCGCCGUUGAGACUGGUAUUCUUGAGUGAGUGAGAGGUAUGCGGAAUGCGUGGUGUAGCGGUGAAAUGCGUAGAUAUCACGCAGAACUCCGAUUGCGAAGGCAGCAAACCGGCGCUCAACUGACGCUCAUGCACGAAAGUGUGGGUAGCGAACAGGAUUAGAUACCCUUGUAGUC
rnacentral:rRNA from 1 species